UUAAAAAUCAUUUCAUCCUUGUUGCUUGUCAAAUGUUAAACGAAGACGAAAGAUACUCGUGAGCGUUGUUAGUAUGAAUCGGACCAUGGCCGUAGUGUACACUUCUUGAACUAGUGCAAGCAGUGCAGAGAAAAAAAACAAACCUUAGAACUCUAACAUUCCAAAGCAAUUAUUAUUUUACCAAAAAACAAAGAAAUUAUCUCAAUGGUUUGCUGCUGCAUAUGCGGGAAAGAACAUUGUCCUUCAUUGCCACGACAAUUUCAUAGAUUCCCAACAGAUAUAAAAAGGCGAAAAAAAUGGUUAAAUAAUAUAAUUGAUUAUAGUAUCAGUGUUUACAAG